AAGGGAUGUGCUCUCCUUAAAUCACAGCCUGUUCAUCAGGUACUCCUGAGUGCUGUGUUAAGAAAUCCUGCCUACAAAGUUCCACUGAGGCUGAUAUAAAGAUGACUGUGAGAAACUGGCUGCGGCUGUCUGAGCAGAGACAGGAAUGGGGGCAGCAAAGGCGGGACAAGCAAGCAUCUUAAGUGAAAUAAUUGAUUGGACUGAUUCUGGAGUAUGACUUAUUCUGGAGGGAAUUUCUUAUUUUUGUUGCAGUUUGCUAUGGGACGGUUUCAAGGACAGGGAUUAGACUAGUUCUAGACUAAAAUAAAUGUAAGAGCUGUCCAAACUGAAAACAACUUGCACUGACAUAUCAUAAAAUACAUCAGUGUCUUUUGUGAUGCUUCAAAAUGCACACAAGUAAUGUUUUUAUUAAGACAUGUUAUUAAAACUAGUUAUAUUUCAGAAUUAAACUAAGGCCUAGUCCCGGUUUAAGAUAAUCCCUGUCCGGGAAACCACCCCAAAGUGUAAUUUGUGGAGUGUUAAAAUAAAUGAAACUGCCUUUGCAAAAACAAAGUAAAAAAAAAUUUCCAGAUGCC